rnacentral:rRNA from 1 species
CAGCCGCCGCGGGAAUAUGGAGGGGGCUAGCGUUGUUCGGAAUUACUGGGCGUAAAGCGCACGUAGGCGGCUUGGUAAGUUAGAGGUGAAAGCCCGGAGCUCAACUCCGGAAUUGCCUUUAAGACUGCCGAGCUAGUAGGUGAGAGAGGUAAGUGGAAUUCCGAGUGUAGAGGUGAAAUUCGUAGAUAUUCGGAAGAACACCAGUGGCGAAGGCGGCUUACUGGCUCAUUCUAGACGCUGAGGUGCGAAAGCGUGGGGAGCAAACAGGAUUAGAUACCCGUGUAGUCCCUGUCUCUUAUAC